rnacentral:rRNA from 1 species
UACAGAGGUCUCAAGCGUUGUUCGGAUUUAUUGGGCGUAAAGCGUGCGUAGGCGGCGAGGUAAGUGAGGUGUGAAAUCCCCAGGGCUUAACCCUGGAACUGCACUUUAUACUGCCUUGCUCGAGGGCUGGAGAGGAGACUGGAAUUUACGGUGUAGCAGUGAAAUGCGUAGAGAUCGUAAGGAAGACCAGUGGCGAAGGCGAGUCUCUGGAAAGCUGCUGACGCUGAGGCACGAAGGCCAGGGGAGCAAACGGG